rnacentral:rRNA from 1 species
UACGGAGGGUGCUAGCGUUGUUCGGAAUUACUGGGCGUAAAGCGCACGUAGGCGGCUUUGUAAGUUAGGGGUGAAAGCCUGGAGCUCAACUUCAGAAUUGCCCUUAAGACUGCAUCGCUUGAAUCCAGGAGAGGUGAGUGGAAUUCCGAGUGUAGAGGUGAAAUUCGUAGAUAUUGGGAAGAACACCGAUGGCGAAGGCAGCCAUCUGGACCGACACUGACGCUGAGGCGCGAAAGCGUGGGGAGCAAACAGG